UACGUAGGGGGCAAGCGUUGUCCGGAAUUAUUGGGCGUAAAGGGCGCGUAGGCGGAUAGUUAAGUCCGGUGUGAAAGAUUAGGGCUCAACCCUGAGAGUGCAUUGGAAACUGGUUAUCUUGAGGACAGGAGAGGAAAGUGGAAUUCCACGUGUAGCGGUGAAAUGCGUAGAUAUGUGGAGGAACACCAGUGGCGAAGGCGACUUUCUGGACUGUAACUGACGCUGAGGCGCGAAAGCGUGGGGAGCAAACAGG
rnacentral:rRNA from 1 species